rfam:Populus trichocarpa scaffold_17_contig_306, whole genome shotgun sequence.
GGGUGCGAUCAUACCAGCACUAAUGCACCGGAUCCCGUCAGAACUCCGCAGUUAAACGUGCUUGGGCGAGAGUAGUACUAGUGAUGGGUGACCUCCUGGGAAGUCCUCGUGUUGCAGCCC